CUUUAUAAAUUUGAUAAGUUUAAUUUUAUUUUGAGUUAAAAUUCUUAAAUUUUAAUAAAAGACGAGAAGACCCUAUAGAAUUUUAUAUGAAAAAAAUUUAAUUUAAUAAUUUUAAAUUAGUUGAAUUUUUGUUUUAUUUUAUUGGGGAUUUAUAAAAAUUUAUGAAAAUUUUUAAUUUUUUUUUUACUAGUGUGUAUUUUUAGAAUUAAUUAUUAAUUGAGUUAAUUUAAAUUACCUUAGGGAUAACAGCGUAAUAUUUUUUAUAAGAUCAUAUUGGUAAAAAUGU
rnacentral:rRNA from 1 species